rnacentral:tRNA from 1 species
UCCCCUAUGCGUGUAACGGUAGCACAGCUGGCUCUAACCCAGCGGGUCCGGGUUCGAAUCCUGGUGGGGGUACUAA